rnacentral:tRNA from 1 species
AGAGGAAAAUCCGUCGAGUUUAAAAAUCGUGAGG